GCAUAAUAAUUAGUUUUUUUAUUGAAAGCUGGAAUGAAUGAUUGGACGAGAAAAAUUCUGUCUCUUUAUAAAAUAUUUUUUAAUUUAACUUUUAAGUUAAAAGGCUUAAAUUUUAUUUAAAGACGAGAAGACCCUAUAGAGUUUAAUAUUAUUAUUAUUAUUAUUAUUUAUGGAAAAUUAUUGGUUAUUGUAAUAUAUAUUUUAUUGGGGUGAUAGAAAAAUUUAAUUAACUUUUUUAUUUUUAAUGUAACAUUAUAAAUUUAUAAAUAUUUAAUCUAAUUUUUUUAAGUUUAAUAUAAAUUACCUUAGGGAUAACAGCGUAAUUUUUUUUAGAAGUUCUUAUUUUAAAAAAAGGUUGCGACCUCGAUGUUGGAUUAAAAUUAAUUUUUGGUGUAGAAGCUAAAAUAUAUUGAGUCUGUUCGACUUUUAAAAUUUUACAUGAUCUGAGU
rnacentral:rRNA from 1 species